AUUGAACGCUGGCGGCAGGCCUAACACAUGCAAGUCGAACGAGUGGCGGACGGGUGAGUAAUGGCUGGGCAACUGCCUGACGGAGGGGGCUAACUACUGGAAACGGUAGCUAAUACCGCAUACCAUCAGAUGGGCCCAGAUGGGUUUAGCGUGUUGGUGGGGUAACGGCUCACCAAGGCGACGAUCCCUAGCUGGCCUGAGAGGAUGACCAGCCACACUGGAACUUAGACAAGGUCCAGACUCCUACGGGAGGCAGCAGUAGGGAAUAUUGCACAAUGGGCGCAAGCCUGAUGCAGCAACGCCGCGUGUAUGAAGAAGGCCUUCGGGUUGUAAAGUACUUUCAGCGGGGAGGCGUUACCCGCAGAAGAAGCACCGGCUAACUCCGUGCCAGCAGCCGCGGUAAUUC
rnacentral:rRNA from 1 species